AAAGCUCAAAUUUAAAAUCUGGCAGCUUCGCUGUCCGAGUUGUAAUUUAGAGAAGUGUUGCCCGCGCUGGACCGUGUAUAAGUCUCCUGGAAUGGAGCGUCAUAGAGGGUGAGAAUCCCGUCUUUGACACGGACUACCAGGGCAUUGCGGUGCGCUCUCGAAGAGUCGAGUUGUUUGGGAAUGCAGCUCUAAAUGGGUGGUAAAUUCCAUCUAAAGCUAAAUAUUGGCGAGAGACCGAUAGCGAACAAGUACCGUGAGGGAAAGAUGAAAAGAACUUUGGAAAGAGAGUUAAACAGUACGUGAAAUUGCUGAAAGGGAAACGCUUGAAGUCAGUCGCGUUGCCCGGGGAUCAGCCUUGCUUUUGUGAGGUGUAUUUCCUGGUUGACGGGUCAGCAUCAGUUUCGACCAUUGGAGAAAGGCUUGAGGAAUGUGGCACCUUUGGGUGUGUUAUAGCCUCUUGCUGUAUACAGUGGUUGGGACUGAGGAACUCAGCACGCCGCAAGGCCGGGUUUCGACCACGUUCGUGCUUAGGAUGCUGGCAAAAUGGCUUUAAGCGACCCGUCUUGAAACACGGACCAAGGAGUCUAACAUGCUUGCGAGUGUUUGGGUGGAAAACCCGAGCGCGUAAUGAAAGUGAAAGUUGAGAUCCCUGUCGUGGGGAGCAUCGACGCCCGGACCUGAUGUUUACUGACGGAUCUGCGGUAGAGCACGUAUGUUGGGACCCGAAAGAUGGUGAACUAUGCCUGAAUAGGGUGAAGCCAGAGGAAACUCUGGUGRAGGCUCGUAGCGAUUCUGACG
rnacentral:rRNA from 1 species